AAGUCGUAACAAGGUUUCCGUAGGUGAACCUGCGGAAGGAUCAUUAGUGAAUUCUUCAAAGUCGGCCCGUCGGAUUGUGCUGGUGGAGACACAUGUGCACAUCUGCGGGUCGCAAAACCCAACACACCUUGUGAAUCUAUGACUCUGAGUCGCCGCCUUGCAUGGCCCUUGAUUGGGCCUGGUGCUCGAGUACUUUAACACACUCUUGAAUGUAACGGAAUGUCAUGUCGUGCAUACAAUGUACAAACAGAAACAACUUUCAACAACGGAUCUCUUGGCUCUCGCAUCGAUGAAGAACGCAGCGAAAUGCGAUAAGUAAUGUGAAUUGCAGAAUUCAGUGAAUCAUCGAAUCUUUGAACGCACCUUGCACCCUUUGGUAUUCCGAAGGGUACACCCGUUUGAGUGUCAUUGUAAUCUCACUACGAUCGACUUUUAUGGUCUUUAUGUAUGUGGACUUGGAUGUUGCCGUUAACAAACAAACGGCUCGUCUGAAAUGCCUGAGUGUACCCCGCUUUGCGGCGUAUUCGGUGUGAUAAAUCUUCACCGGAGUUGAUCCCUUUAUCGGGGUCGCGUCUGUAAUGGUGUGGCUCUAUGCUUCCAACCGUCUCUCAUGGGACAAACCUCUGACAAUUUGACCUCAAAUCGGGUGGGACUACCCGCUGAACUUAAGCAUAUCAAUAAGCGGAGGAAAAGAAACUAACAAGGAUUCCCCUAGUAACGGCGAGUGAAGAGGGAAAAGCUCAAAUUUUGAAUCUGGUGUCUUUGACUCCCGAGUUGUAAUCUAGAGAAGUGUUUUCCGUGUCGGACCGUGCACAAGUUCCCUGGAACGGGGCGUCGUAGAGGGUGAGAAUCCCGUAUAUGGCACGGACUCCCGAUGCAUUUGUGAUACACUCUCAACGAGUCGAGUUGUUUGGGAAUGCAGCUCAAAAUGGGUGGUAAAUUCCAUCUAAAGCUAAAUAUUGGCGAGAGACCGAUAGCGAACAAGUACCGUGAGGGAAAGAUGAAAAGCACUUUGGAAAGAGAGUGAAACAGUACGUGAAAUUGUUGAAAGGGAAGCGUUUGAAGUCAGUCGUAUCUGGCGGGAUUCAGCUUGGCUUUUGCCGGGUGUACUUCUCGUCCGAUGGGUCAGCAUCAAUUUCGACCGGGGGAAAAAGAUGUGUGGAAUGUGGCCGUCCUCGGGCGGUGUUUAUAGCCACCGCAUUGUAUGCCUCGGUUGGGAUUGAGGAACGCAGCGCGCCUAUAGGCCAGGGGCUACCCGCCUCUUGACACGCGCUUAGGAUGCUGGCAUAAUGACUUUAAGCGACCCGUCUUGAAACACGGACCAAGGAGUCUAACAUGUGCGCGAGUGUUUGGGUGUCAAACCCAUGCGCGAAAUUAAAGUGAAAGGUUGGGAUCAUUCAUUUGUGCACCGACGCCCGGAGCAGACCUUUUGUGACGCAUCCGCGGUAGAGCGUAUAUGUUGGGACCCGAAAGAUGGUGAACUAUGCCUGAAUAGGGUGAAGCCAGAGGAAACUCUGGUGGAGGCUCGUAGCGAUUCUGACGUGCAAAUCGAUCGUCAAAUUUGGGUAUAGGGGCGAAAGACUAAUCGAACCAUCUAGUAGCUGGUUCCUGCCGAAGUUUCCCUCAGGAUAGCAGAAACUCGUGGUCUCAGCCUUGUGCGGUAAAGCGAAUGAUUAGAGGCCUUGGGGUUGAAACAACCUUAACCUAUUCUCAAACUCUAAAUGUGCAAGACAGGGU
rnacentral:rRNA from 1 species